GGUUAAUGUUAACCUACUCCUAGAGUAGACGAGUUUAUCAGACAACACCCUUGCACGCUGACACAUCAGCAACUUUUCUCCAACAUCGACACUAACACUUGAUCCUUCAUUUGUACCAACCCGUGAGGAUCCACCGUAGAAAAAAACAGAAUCCGCAACAAAUGGCCUGUGACACAUAAGAAAUAACUCCCAUAUUUUCAAUAGGGUUUUUAUUUGGAAGUAACAUAUAAUCGAUAUUCAGGUCAAAGCAUAUGCCUGAAGAAUGAUACUUCAACCAUGUAUAUCAAGACUAUGAGUAUGUUAUGCGAAGCUUAAAAAGUGUACUUACAAGUAAACAAGUUCUAGAAUACAUAAAUAAUGUUUAUCACUUAUCAGUAAAGUAAAUUAUAUUUUGAUAGUAAUCUUUUUGCUUAAAAGUGGAGGGUUGUAAAAAGUUGCUUCAAUUUUUGCUUUUUUAAGCUUAGCCAAACGUGAUAUCAGCAAGACUUCUAAAAGAAUCACGAUGAAUGUCUUGAGAUCUCCAAGAGAGAAAGGAAAAAAGAAAAAUUGAAACAGCAGUUCAGC
rnacentral:lncRNA from 1 species